rnacentral:rRNA from 1 species
UAGCCGUAAACGAUACUCGCUAGGUGUCGGCCACGGUGCGACCGUUGUCGGUGCCGUAGGGAAGCCGUGAAGCGAGCCACCUGGGAAGUACGGCCGCAAGGCUGAAACUUAAAGGAAUUGGCGGGGGAGCACCACAACGGGUGGAGCUUGCGGUUUAAUUUGGAUUCAACGCCGGAAAUCUUACCGGGACCGACAGCAACAUGAAGGCCAGGCUGAAGACUUUGCCGGAUUAGCUGAGAGGUGGUGCAUGGCGUAGUCGUGU